GGCCGCCGUGGCCGGGUGGUAACGCACGAAACUUUGAUUCAUGAGGUCGUCGGUUCAAGACCCACCGCGGUCG